CACGUAGGGGGCAAGCGUUGUUCGGAAUUACUGGGCGUAAAGGGCAUGUAGGCGGCUUUGUAAGCCUGGCGUGAAAGUCUGCAGCUUAACUGCGGGAAUGCGUUGGGAACUGCGAAGCUUGAGUUAUGGAGAGGAAGCUAGAAUUCCUGGUGUAGGGGUGAAAUCUGUAGAGAUCAGGAAGAAUACCAAUGGCGAAGGCAAGCUUCUGGCCAAUGACUGACGCUGAGGUGCGAAAGUGUGGGGAUCAAACAGGAUUAGAUACCCUGGUAGUCCACACAGUAAACGAUGUGCACUAGGUGCUGGGGCGGAUGCUUCAGUGCCGGAGCUAACGCGGUAAGUGCACCGCCUGGGGAGUAUGCUCGCAAGGGUG
rnacentral:rRNA from 1 species